rnacentral:rRNA from 1 species
GACGAACGCUGGCGGCGUGCUUAACACAUGCAAGUCGAACGGAAAGGCCCUGCUUUUGUGGGGUGCUCGAGUGGCGAACGGGUGAGUAACACGUGAGUAACCUGCCCUUGACUUUGGGAUAACUUCAGGAAACUGGGGCUAAUACCGGAUAGGAGCUCCUGCUGCAUGGUGGGGGUUGGAAAGUUUCGGCGGUUGGGGAUGGACUCGCGGCUUAUCAGCUUGUUGGUGGGGUAGUGGCUUACCAAGGCUUUGACGGGUAGCCGGCCUGAGAGGGUGACCGGCGACAUUGGGACUGAGAUACGGCCCAGACUCCAACGGGAGGCAGCGGUGGAGAGUAUUACACAAUGGGCGGAAGCCUGAUGCAACAACGCCGGGUGCGGGAUGACGGCCAUCGGGUUGUAAACCGCUUUCGCCUGUGACGAAGCGUGAGUGACGGUAAUAGGUGAAGAAGCACCGGCUAACUACGUG